rnacentral:rRNA from 1 species
AUUGAACGCUGGCGGCAGGCCUAACACAUGCAAGUCGAACGGGAACAGGAAGAAGAUUGCUUCUUUGCUGACGAGUGGCGGACGGGUGAGUAAUGUCUGGGAAACUGCCUGAUGGAGGGGGAUAACUACUGGAAACGGUAGCUAAUACCGCAUAACGUCGCAAGACCAAAGAGGGGGACCUUCGGGCCUCUUGCCAUCGGAUGUGCCCAGAUGGGAUUAGCUAGUAGGUGGGGUAACGGCUCACCUAGGCGACGAACCCUAGCUGGUCUGAGAGGAUGACCAGCCACACUGGAACUGAGACACAGUCCAGACUCCGAGGGGAGGCAGCAGUGGGGAAUAUUGCACAAUGGGGGCAAGCCUGAUGCAGCCAUGCGGCGUGUAUGAAGAAGGCCUUCGGGUUGUAAAGUACUUUCAGCGGGGAGGAAGGGAGUAAAGUUAAUACCUUUUCUCAUUGACGUUACCCGCAGAAGAAGCUCCGGCUAACUCCGUG